ACUUGAACUUCAUGGGGAACACAUAUUACAAAAUAAUAUUUAAUUGGCUUCUGCAUUUCUGAACUAGAAUUUUGUUGAAACACAAAUUAUUAGUACAAAUU